rnacentral:tRNA from 1 species
AAGGCCAUAGCGUAAUUGGCAAAGCAAACUGCUCAUGACAGUUCAGAUGAGUGUUCGAAUCAUUCUGGCCUUA